GACAGAGGGUGCAAACGUUGCUCGGAAUUACUGGGCGUAAAGCGCGUGUAGGCGGGCUGGAAAGUCGGGCGUGAAAUCCCCAGGCUCAACCUGGGAACUGCACUCGAAACUCCCAGUCUAGAGUGGUGGAGAGGGAAGUGGAAUUCCUGGUGUAGAGGUGAAAUUCGUAGAUAUUGGGAAGAACACCGAUGGCGAAGGCAGCCAUCUGGACCGACACUGACGCUGAGGCGCGAAAGCGUGGGGAGCAAACAGG
rnacentral:rRNA from 1 species